rnacentral:tRNA from 1 species
GCGGGUGUGGCGGAACUGGCAGACGCGCUAGACUUAGGAUCUAGUACCUCACGGUGUGCAGGUUCGAUUCCUGUCACCCGCACCA